GAUUAACGCUGGCGGCGUGCAUAACACAUGCAAGUCGAACGAUGAAACUUAACUGAUUUCUUCGGAAUGAUUUUAAGUGGAUUAGUGGCGGACGGGUGAGUAACGCGUGAGUAACCUGCCUUGGAGAAGGGGAUAGCCUUUGGAAACGAAGAAUAAUACCCUAUGAUAUGAUAAUAUCUCAUGAUUUUAUCAUCAAAGAUUUAUCGCUCUAAGAUGGACUUGCGUCUGAUUAGUUAGUUGGUGAGGUAACAGCUCACCAAGGCAGCGAUCAGUAGCCGGCUUGAGAGAGUGUACGGCCACAUUGGGACUGAGACACGGCCCAGACUCCUACGGGAGGCAGCAGUGGGGAAUUUUGCACAAUGGGGGAAACCCUGAUGCAGCGACGCCGCGUGAUUUAGAAGGCCUUCGGGUUGUAAAAAUCUUUUGUAUGGGAAGAAAAUGACAGUACCAUACGAAUAAGGACCGGCUAAUUACGUG
rnacentral:rRNA from 1 species